rnacentral:lncRNA from 1 species
GGGAGGGGAUAAAUUAAAAAAGCGAAUGGAAGGGCAUCCACCAUAGAAUACAAAUCAUCAAUCCAACCUACUCUAGGUUAAUGGGCCAAUAAUCGUAUCUCCGUACUUAGAUGAGUUUAAUGACUGCAAUUUACACUUUUUUUUUACCAUACUGAAACUCUCUCACUAAGUAUGAUGGCCAUAUAUUUAUUUUACCCAAAUAGUUCAUCAACCAGGACUCCCGCAUGAACUAAAAACUUUAGGA